AGCGUUGGGGUUCCACCUCUUCCCAUUCCGAACAGAGAAGUUAAGCCCAAUUGCGCCGAUGGUAGUGCGUAUAGUGUGAGAGUAGGUAGCCGCCGUUU
rnacentral:rRNA from 1 species